rnacentral:rRNA from 1 species
UGGCGAACGGGUGAGUAACGCGUGAGGAACCUGCCUCAAAGAGGGGACAACAGUUGGAACGACUGCUAAUACCGCAUAAGCCCACGGGUCGGCAUCGACCUGAGGGAAAAGGAGCAAUCCGCUUUGAGAUGGCCUCGCGUCCGAUUAGCUAGUUGGUGAGGUAACGGCCCACCAAGGCGACGAUCGGUAGCCGGACUGAGAGGUUGAACGGCCACAUUGGGACUGAGACACGGCCCAG